GACGAACGCUGGCGGCGUGCUUAACACAUGCAAGUCGAACGGCAAGGCCCUGCUUUUGUGGUGUUCUCGAGUGGCGAACGGGUGAGUAACACGUGAGUAACCUGCCCUUGACUUUGGUAUAACUUCAGGAAACUGGGGCUAAUACCGGAUAGGAGCUCCUGCUGCAUGGUGGGGGUUGGAUAGUUUCGGCGGUUGGGGAUGGACUCGCGGCUUAUCAGCUUGUUGGUGGGGUAGUGGCUUACCAAGGCUUUGACGGGUAGCCGGCCUGAGAGGGUGACCGGGCACAUUGGGACUGAGAUACGGCCCAGACUCCUACGGGAGGCAGCAGUGGGGAAUAUUGCACAAUGGGCGGAAGCCUGAUGCAGAAACGCCGCGUGCGGGAUGACGGCCUUCGGGUUGUAAACCGCUUUCGCCUGUGACGAAGCGUGAGUGACGGUAAUGGGUAAAGAAGCACCGGCUAACUACGUG
rnacentral:rRNA from 1 species